UAAAAUCCCUUACUAUCCCUUACCUCAAAAGAGCAGCACUUCUGACUGGAUAUCGGAUAUGACGCUGAAGGAAACUUGCACUGAUGAAUAUCAACUCACCAAGUAUCUAAAUACUCACAAAAUACACUCAAUAAUCUAGAGAGAGAAAGAGAGAAAGCUUAUGUUUCUGGUGUGAUUUUUAAUUCUAACUUAGCCCUCUAUUUAUAGGAAAAUUUUA
rnacentral:lncRNA from 1 species